GGACCGAACCGACUUACGUUGAAAAGUGAGCGGAUGAACUGAGGGUAGCGGAGAAAUUCCAAUCGAACUUGGAGAUAGCUGGUUCUCUCCGAAAUAGCUUUAGGGCUAGCCUCAAGUGAUGAUUAUUGGAGGUAGAGCACUGUUUGGACGAGGGGCCCCUCUCGGGUUACCGAAUUCAGACAAACUCCGAAUGCCAAUUAAUUUAACUUGGGAGUCAGAACAUGGGUGAUAAGGUCCGUGUUCGAAAGGGAAACAGCCCAGACCACCAGCUAAGGUCCCAAAAUAUAUGUUAAGUGGAAAAGGAUGUGGCGUUGCCCAGACAACUAGGAUGUUGGCUUAGAAGCAGCCAUCAUUUAAAGAGUGCGUAAUAGCUCACUAGUCGAGUGACACUGCGCCGAAAAUGUACCGGGGCUAAACAUAUUACCGAAGCUGUGGAUUGUCCUUUGGACAAUGGUAGGAGAGCGUUCUAAGGGCGUCGAAGCAUGAUCGCAAGGACAUGUGGAGCGCUUAGAAGUGAGAAUGCCGGUGUGAGUAGCGAAAGACGGGUGAGAAUCCCGUCCACCGAUUGACUAAGGUUUCCAGAGGAAGGCUCGUCCGCUCUGGGUUAGUCGGGUCCUAAGCUGAGGCCGACAGGC
rnacentral:rRNA from 1 species